rnacentral:rRNA from 1 species
AUGGUUAAGUGACUAAGCGUACACGGUGGAUGCUUGGCAGUCAGAGGCGAUGAAGGACGUAUUAACUUGCGAUAAGCCCAGAUUAGGUAGUAAAAACCAUUUGAGUCUGGGAUUUCCGAAUGGGGAAACCCACUUACAUAAGUAAGUAUCCUGUUGUGAAUACAUAGCAACAGGAGGCGAACCGGGGGAACUGAAACAUCUAAGUACCCCGAGGAAAAGAAAUCAACCGAGAUUCCGAAAGUAGCGGCGAGCGAAAUUGGACUAGCCCUUAAGCUUUAUAUGCGUUAGACGAACGGUCUGGAAAGUCCGGCGAUACAGGGUGAUAGCCCCGUAGUUGACAACGCACAUUCAGUGAAAUCGAGUAGGGCGGGACACGUGAUAUCCUGUCUGAAUAUGGGGGGACCAUCCUCCAAGGCUAAAUACUACUGACUGACCGAUAGUGAACCAGUACCGUGAGGGAAAGGCGAAAAGAACCCCUGUGAGGGGAGUGAAAUAGAACCUGAAACCGUGUACGUACAAGCAGUAGGAGCACCUUCGUGGUGUGACUGCGUACCUUUUGUAUAAUGGGUCAGCGACUUAUAUUCAGUGGCAAGGUUAACCAUCUAGGGGAGCCGUAGGGAAACCGAGUCUUAACUGGGCGUUCAGUCUCUGGAUAUAGACCCGAAACCAGGUGAUCUAGCCAUGGGCAGGUUGAAGGUUGAGUAACAUCAACUGGAGGACCGAACCGACUAAUGUUGAAAAAUUAGCGGAUGACUUGUGGCUAGGGGUGAAAGGCCAAUCAAACCUGGAGAUAGCUGGUUCUCCCCGAAAGCUAUUUAGGUAGCGCCUCGGACGAAUACUACUGGGGGUAGAGCACUGUUAAGGCUAGGGGGUCAUCCCGACUUACCAACCCUUUGCAAACUCCGAAUACCAGUAAGUACUAUCCGGGAGACACACGGCGGGUGCUAACGUCCGUCGUGGAGAGGGAAACAACCCAGACCGCCAGCUAAGGUCCCAAAUUAUAGCUAAGUGGGAAACGAUGUGGGAAGGCUUAGACAGCUAGGAUGUUGGCUUAGAAGCAGCCAUCAUUUAAAGAAAGCGUAAUAGCUCACUAGUCGAGUCGGCCUGCGCGGAAGAUGUAACGGGGACUAAGCUAUAAACCGAAGCUGCGGCAAUGAAGUU